rnacentral:tRNA from 1 species
GGGUAGGUGGCGGAGUGGUCAAACGCAUGAGACUGUAAAUCUCACGGCCUUAGGCCUACGGGGGUUCGAAUCCCUCCCUGCCCA